GGCUCCUCCUCGCAGGGUUGGCCGCCGUGGGAACCGCUCGACCACCGUGCCCGUGGGUGGGAUGCGGCUGCCCCCCCCCCCCCCCCCCCCCCCCGCGGCUGCAGCGGGAGAUGCUCGGGGUCUGCCGCUCGCUCGGGAGGCGCAGGAGAGGAGCGGGGGCAGGAAUUCCGCCUGGAGGGAGCGGGAGGUGCCCCCGGGACGCGCAGAACGAGGCACCCUGUGCCCUGCCCCAGCGCUGAGUCUGCUGAAUGCGGCAGGAAAGGGAUGGAAAAUGGGAAUGAAGUGUGGGUGUGGGGUGAAUUGCAGGGAAAAGCUCCGCUCCCACUCUCCAAGGCCACUCUGGGAUGUUGGGAUGUGGCUGAUCCCAACCUGUGCAGGGGACAGGGAUCCCACAAAACCUUUCUGAGCCUUUCGGAGCUUUGCGAGAACCUUCGUGGCCGUUGUUAGCACGAACAGUGGGAUUGUCCCAGAUAAUCCCACCCACUCCUCAGGCAGCCACAGCUGGAAUGGCAGCCCCCAGCUGUGCUUCCCAGCAGCAAUUCCAGGCAGGAUGCCACCUGCCCUGGCACCCCAUCUUCCCUGCGCCCCUCACCAUCAAGGGGAGAGUUUGUGGGGCUGCAGAGGGGAUCCCAAGGGUGCCCUGACCCUGCUGCAUCCCCCAGCACUGCCCUGGGCGCUCAGCUCCACAGGGGUAAGGAGAUUUGGGGAUUUUUCGGGGGAAAAGAGGCGUUUUAGCCUCAGCUGAAGGGGUAGAGGAAUCUUCCUGCUCAGAGCAACUCGGAGAAGAUUUUGUAUGAGAAAUGCAAUUACUCUUCCAGCACCACUCCAGAUCCACACAGGAAUUUCCCUCUUGGAUCAGGGUGUGAAUCCCCCUGAAACAAAGCAGCAGUGGGAACACGGGGUUGGAAGUGAAGCUCAUUCUAAGAAUUUUCUGAAUCAGGAUGGGAGCUCAAACCUCCUCUUUGACGUGAGAGUUCUUUUUCUUUUUCUUUUUCUUUUUCUUUUUCUUUUUCUUUUUCUUUUUCUUUUUCUUUUUCUUUUUCUUUUUCUUUUUCUUUUUCUUUUU
rnacentral:lncRNA from 12 species